rnacentral:rRNA from 1 species
AGUGAACGCUGGCGGUAGGCCUAACACAUGCAAGUCGAACGGCAGCACAGUAAGAGCUUGCUCUUACGGGUGGCGAGUGGCGGACGGGUGAGGAAUACAUCGGAAUCUACUUUUUCGUGGGGGAUAACGUAGGGAAACUUACGCUAAUACCGCAUACGACCUACGGGUGAAAGCAGGGGAUCUUCGGACCUUGCGCGAUUGAAUGAGCCGAUGUCGGAUUAGCUAGUUGGCGGGGUAAAGGCCCACCAAGGCGACGAUCCGUAGCUGGUCUGAGAGGAUGAUCAGCCACACUGGAACUGAGACACGGUCCAGACUCCUACGGGAGGCAGCAGUGGGGAAUAUUGGACAAUGGGCGCAAGCCUGAUCCAGCCAUACCGCGUGGGUGAAGAAGGCCUUCGGGUCGUAAAGCCCUUUUGUUGGGAAAGAAAAGCAGCAGGUUAAUACCCCGCUGUUCUGACGGUACCCAAAGAAUAAGCACCGGCCAACUUCGUG